rnacentral:tRNA from 1 species
GGGGUUGUGGCUCAGCGGUAGAGCACUUGCCUAGCAUGUGUGAAGCCCUGGGUUCAAUUCUCAGCACCA